AUCUAAUAGAUCUUUAUCCUUGAUAUCGAUGCAUGCCAGCGCCCGAGGUUUCCUCUAUAGCUGCGCAGUCAUCGGAGACGAAGCCUGGAAAGCUGGAAGCUAGAUAUCAUGGGCUUCUCUGUGGGAGAUUGAUAUAUCGCUAUGGAGAACAGGUGAAAGGAACUUCGUUGCUGAUAUCAGACUGCAGAAAAUUUUUCACGCUGUUUGUCAUCACUUGCCGGAUGGAAUAUCAGGUCUAGUUGAUUGAUCACCCAAAGUCAGCUGAAAGUUUUGCAGUCGGCGUGGGGUUAAGUGCAAAGAUUCCUACUGAACCAUGACCAGUGGUACUGAAUGAUCCUUGCUCUCGCAAGAAUGGUCCAACCUUUGGUUUGAGAACCGUGGAGGCGUGGAAGCAUGGUGCAGGCAAGACGGAAAAGGUGGCCUUGCGUGCGUAUCACGGUGUCCGGUGGUGCAGCACAGGACUUUUCAUUCCCUGAAAUCGCAAGCCAUUUUCGUAAAGGAAGCGUGCAAGUAUGCUACGCAUGGUACAGUUGAUUAGCUUCUGCUUGUUUUUUUCUUCUAAAAUUCAGACAGCAGGAAGCUUUUCCCCUUAUAAAAUUCUGAUUAUAAAUGUUAUUUAAGCUGUUGCUUGUUCGUUAGCAUGCUAAGCUAUUGUGACUUGUGAGAGGUUCUGA